UACGUAGGGGGCGAGCGUUGUCCGAAGUUACUGGGCGUAAAGCGCGCGUAGGCGGUUCUUUUAAGUUAAUUGUGAAAUCUCCACGGCUCAACCGGGAGACUGCGGUUAAGACUGGGGGACUUGAGAUUGGGAGAGGGAAGUGGAAUUCCUGGUGUAGCGGUGAAAUGCGUAGAUAUCAGGAGGAACACCAAAGGCGAAGGCAGCUUCCUGGCCCAAUUCUGACGCUGAGGUGCGAAAGCGUGGGUAGCGAACGGG
rnacentral:rRNA from 1 species